ensembl:lncRNA
UUGUUUUUUUAAAAAGGCAUGAACUUUAUAAAAUAGUCAAAUAUAAGCAACACACCACUCCAACAAGUUUAAACAAAUAAUAAUAACAAAUAUUAUAUAAAACUAGGUCUACUCAAAGUGCUAUUUUCUGUUGUAUGUAACCAUAUCAUGUUUUAUUUAACUUUUCACAAUAUCUAGACAAGGACCUGCUUAAAAUAAAAUAGGCUUAGCCAACUCAUCACAUUAGUAGAGCGGACAAAAAUAAUCUGCAUCCAUCUUCAGCCAUACAAUCAAAAGCAUCAUGGUCACCUCUAAAAGGUAGCUGGUUCACUGCAAGGAACUCGACAACAUCAAUUACUGAUGACAAGUAGUAUCUGUUGCCUUCCAAAUGUUCUGCAUUGAUUAACGUUGUGAUUUCUUUACCGGUCUGAAUCCGUCUCUCCACAUAGCUUCACAGGUCUGGUGUUCUUUUGACGCUGAAUGUUU